rnacentral:rRNA from 1 species
AUUGAACGCUGGCGGCAGGCUUAACACAUGCAAGUCGAGCGGGAGAAGGUAGCUUGCUACCGGACCUAGCGGCGGACGGGUGAGUAAUGCUUAGGAAUCUGCCUAUUAGUGGGGGACAACAUCUCGAAAGGGAUGCUAAUACCGCAUACGUCCUACGGGAGAAAGCAGGGGAUCUUCGGACCUUGCGCUAAUAGAUGAGCCUAAGUCGGAUUAGCUAGUUGGUGGGGUAAAGGCCUACCAAGGCGACGAUCUGUAGCGGGUCUGAGAGGAUGAUCCGGCACACUUGGACUGAGACAAGGCCCAGGGUCCUACGGGGAGGAGCAGUGGGGAAUAUUGGACAAUGGGGGGAACCCUGAUCCAGCCAUGCCGCGUGUGUGAAGAAGGCCUUAUGGUUGUAAAGCACUUUAAGCGAGGAGGAGGCUACUUUAGUUAAUACCUAGAGAUAGUGGACGUUACUCGCAGAAUAAGCACCGGCUAACUCUGUGCCAGCCGCCGCAGUAA